rnacentral:rRNA from 1 species
GUGUCAGCAGCCGCGGUAAUACGUAGGGGGCAAGCGUUGUCCGGAUUUAUUGGGCGUAAAGAGCGUGUAGGCGGUUUGGUAGGUCCGCUGUGAAAACUCGAGGCUCAACCUCGAGACGCCGGUGGAAACCAUCAGACUAGAGUCCGGAAGAGGAGAGUGGAAUUCCUGGUGUAGCGGUGAAAUGCGCAGAUAUCAGGAAGAACACCCGUGGCUAAGGCGGCUCUCUAGUACGGUACUGACGCUGAGACGCGAAAGCGUGGGGAGCGAACAGGAUUAGAAACCCUUGUAGUCC